rnacentral:rRNA from 1 species
UACGGGGGGGGCAAGCGUUGUUCGGAAUUACUGGGCGUAAAGGGCUCGUAGGCGGCCAACUAAGUCCGACGUGAAAUCCCCAGCUUAACCUGGGAACUGCGUCGGAUACUGGAUGGCUUGAAUUCGGGAGAGGGAUGCAGAAUUCCAGGUGUAGCGGUGAAAUGCGUAGAUAUCUGGAGGAAUACCGGUGGCGAAGGCGGCAUCCUGGACCGACAUUGACGCUGAUGAGCGAAAGCCAGGGGAGCAAACGGG